UUUGGUUUCAUUGAUCAUCUCUAUUAUUUUCUUUGUCUCUAUUUCCUUUGUUUCUACUCUGAUUGUCAUGAUUUCUUUCCUUCUACUAAUUUAGGGCUUUGUCUGGUCUUCCUUCUCCAGUUGCCUUAGGUGUAAGGUUAGGUUGUUUAUUUGAGAUUUUUUCUUCUUUCUUGAGAUAAGAAUGUAUUGCUAUAAACUUCCCUCUCAGAACAGCUUUUACUAAAAAAUGCUUGAUAAAAUUUCAAUUUUAUUAAAUUCACCAAGACUUGGUCUGUGGCCCAAGAUGUGAUUUAUCCUGGAGAAUGUUCCAUGUGCACUUUAGAAGAAUGUAUAUUCUUCUGCUCUUGGGAUGGAAUAUUCUAUAAAUAUCAGUUAAGUCUAUCUGGUCCAGGGUAUCAUUUAAGACCUGUGUUUCCUUAAUGAUUUACUGUCUGAAUGAUCUGUUCUUUGAUGUAAGUGGGGUGUUAAAGUCCCCUACUACUAUUUUAUUACUAUUGAUUUUUUCCUUUCAUGGGUUGAAGAAUUCCUUUUGUCUAGACAACUCUUUAUCUCCCUUCAAUUCUGAAAGACAGCUUUGCUGGGGAGAGUUUUCUUAUCUGGCAAGGUUUUUUUUUUUCCCUUCAGAACUUUGUAAAUAUCCCACUCCCUUCUGGUUUAAUUUCCUGAUGAAAAACAUAUUUAUAUUCUUAUGUGAGUUCCUUUUUGUGUGACACUAUUGCUUUACUCUUGCUGCUUUUAAGAUUCUCUCCUUGUCCUUAACUUUGAACAGUGCUAUUUACAAUUGUAACUCAAGUAUGGAGUCAUCUUUGGUGCCUUUUAGGUUUCCUAAUCUAGGUGUCUAUUUUUUUCCUUAGUUUAGGAAAAUUUGUCAUCAUUAUUUAUUUGACUAAACUUUCUGCCCCUUUCUUUUCUCUUUCUGGUAUCUUUAUGAUGCAUUUUUGGUCUAUAUGUGUGCCUAUUAAGAAUUUCUUAUAUGGACUCUCAAUAAUUUGGGUAGGCCUCAUACAAUCAGCCUUAGGAGUAAAAACUGAGGUUUCCUGGAGAAGAAGUACUGACUCAAGACUGCAGCCUCCACUCCUACCUGAGUUCCAAGGUUGUCAGCCUGCCCUAUGGAUUUUUAAUUGGCCAGUCCCCACAAUUGUUUAAAAUAAAUAUCUUUAUAUAAAUAAGUAAAAAAAAUAACUGCUAAUAUGUAUGCUACAGUCCUAUGAGAUUCAUGAAUGCAAGCCUUUGUUGGCUAUCAGAGAUAGGACAUUUGGGAGACAUUCCUCAGAUAACCCGCAAGUGCUAGGCAACAGACAUGUACACAAACUCCUUCUAGAAGAUACUGGUGACCUGGCUUUAUUGUUGAUGUGGACUGAAGGGAUAAGGUGGGAGUAAUGUCUGCUGAUGUCCCCAGUCUCCAGGGAUGAUUGCAGGCUAGAUUUAUAGAUGCAGGGAAACUGGGAAAUGGAUGUCUUUGCCUGCUCCCUCUGCACCAAACACUGAGUGAAUAGCUAUGUGGCUGUGGCGAGUGUCAAUGCGACAAUAAAGAACUGCUUCUUUCUUAGCUAUAGUCUUUGGAUCUUGUAGACACAAACUUCAUUUCAGAGUUAGGUAUUUGGAGAGUCAGUCACUCAAAUGAGAAUAUUAAAGGUUGAGUCACUAAAUAUUCAUAAAAACACUUCACUCCUCCAGGAGAGGCUGGGAGUUAGGGGUUCCCUGAUUGUAUCUGGCUGCACUGGAGGGGGAGUUUAUAGUAAGUGUGUAUUUCAACCUUUUCUGCCAGUUGCAAUGUGGGUAUUUUCUUUUUUACCUAACAUGUGGGAGUCUCUCAAUUAGAUUCUUGAUUUUUUCAGAAGGAAUUUCUCUAUAUGUAGCUCUGCAUUUGAUGCAUAUAUGGGAGGAAGGAAUUUUAAGAGUCUCCUGUCUUGCUCAACUCCAUUCCCUUCUGAACUCAUAGAAGGGAAAAAAAAUAGAGCUCUGGUAAAAUAACUGUUUCCCUCACCCCAUAAUUUCUACUGAAAGAAUAAAUUAUCUUUAAUUAGUACAUUAUCACUAGAUGACUAAAACAUAUGUAUUACUUUUCUCUUAUUUCAAUACAAUAAAGAGCACAAUUUUGGAGAAAGGGCAGUAUAGUUGGGCCUCUAGCAAACAUAAAACACAAGCCUAAUAUCUUGUGGUGCAGAGCAAGACAGAAAUCCCCAAAGAAUAUGUGGCUUUAUAAUGGCAUUCAUUUUUCUUAUCUUUAGUAAACUUAAGCUUAUGAUAGAAGUUCGAAUCAUUCUUUUCUACUUUUACACACAAGUUAUAUCAGUUUUUACCACCUAAUAUGGUCCCAGUUUGACUUAUUUUAUGAAACUUUGCAUUUCAUUGAUUGAACACAUUCUCUUUAGAAACAUCAAAACUCUACACACUUCUAGUUUUACUGGGUAUAGUGAGGUACAGUGAAGAUCCAUAUGGUGAAUAACUAAUUAAUCGACAUAAUUUCAUUGAAAUAUAUUUUAAUCUAUCUUGUGUAGAUAACUCAUGCUGUGUCUUCAGAGGAUGAUCACAAAAACUUCAAUAGCUUUAUUAAAUGCAUGCUAGUAAAGUCUUAUUUUUAUAUUUAUUAUGUAAUAUGUUUCACCUUGAGUUUUUGGUGUCUCCUUGUUUUCAGAUAUACUGCAAUUACCGUGAUAAUAGUAAGCUCUUUCAGACUAACUUAGUGAGUAGACAUAUUCCCUAUAACCAAUUUGGAGUUGUAGAGAUAAUGCAAGAGAGGAAUAUUGAUUUACUUUUCACAUUUCAUUACCAUGUCAAAAUAAAACACAGAUUCAUGUAGCUAUUGCUUGUAUAAAUCAAUCCUAAGUAUAAUUAAUCGUAGUGAGUAGAGUUGGAAACAAAAUAGUAAGUUACCCAAAUCAUUGAAAGCCUGGUUCAUGCUGCUCUUUGCAGUGUAUUUUUUAUGUCUUGUCCAUGUAAGCUGUCCUUUCUCAAUUCUUAUUUUCUAAAUUGCUCUUUAAAACAUUCAUGAUAUAGUACCUACCUCACUGAAGAGUUCUUAAGUGGUAUUUAUUAGUAAGUUCAUUGUUACUCUAGUUUUUCCAUCUUACAGAAAGGCAUAUCAUUAUAACCAGUAUUAUUAAUCUACCUACAUCGUUCACAGCAAAACAGAAGGGUUUAGUCUUAGUAAUAUCAGUAUUGAUCAUAACACUAAUCUUACUAGGGAUAUUUAUGCUAUGUACCUGACUAUUAUUUUAUGAUAUAUCCUCACCAAACAGAUGGGCUUCUAUCACUUUCUGAAGCUGUUGGGUCUACUCUUAUUUGAAACCAGGAAACACAUUAUAAAAUAAAUGAAACUUUAUAUAAAAGUAAAAUACUCAUAUUAGUUGUUUUUUCAAGUACAUACCAAGACAGUGACGUAAAAUGUAACUACUUGGUACCUUACUUGAAGGAGACAUUAAUAUAUGUUUUCUUUCUUAGAGUCCUAUAAAUUUUCUAGGACUUAUUUGAACAUUAAAUAUAUGUCUUAUUAUGGAGGGAAAUGUAAGUAAAAUAUACUUAAAAUUAUCAUGCAUAAAUUAUAAUGCCUGGUGAUAUUAUACAAGUAAUUUCUUACUUAGGAAAAAAUGACAUUGAAACAGACAAGCUCUUUAACAAUCUAUAUGUAAAUUCAUAAGAAUUGAAACCUUAGAACACGACCUUGGGUACAUAUUACUAAAACUAUGCCAUUAACAUUUUUUUUCUUGUCCUACCAUCAUGGACUGAGCAAGGGAAAGAAUCCAUGACAAAAUUCAUAAUUCAAUUUAAUCUAAAAAAUGUUAAUAUUACUUUUAAGUAAUAUAGAAGUGAAAUUUAUCAGUCAUACUUCGUUGAAAGUAAUUUGAUACAAAUAUUCCAUCAUAAGAGAUGCAAUGCAAGAUUAUGAGUCUGUGGUUAUGUUAUUAGAUUUGGGUAGGAGACAACUGUCAGCUCCUCAAAAUGACAACUGUCAAAUGACCAGAUAUUCAGAUUAAUAUAUAUUUAUUUUCAAACUACAGCCAUAUGAAGUAUAAAGCAUUAUAAAAAAUAAAUUAGAAGCAAUAUGAAAAACUAAGAAAAUAUAUCCUAAAUAUCAAACUUCAUUAAACCACAUCAUCAAGACUUAAUUAGCGGUAGAUGCAUUGAAGUAUAACUAAUUAACAAGCUUUCAAGUUUGCUUUUUUUUUGUUUUCCAGUGGCAUUUUCUGACCUUCUAGGAUGCAUGAUUAAGCACGUAGAUCUUUAAAAUGAGAAAGCAUGACAAAUGUAAGCUCUCCUUUUCUUUAAGAUCCCACAUAUUACAUUUAGGAUGUCAUCUGAGAGAAUUCAGUUUCCAUUUUUUUAAGGCAUGAAGUUUUUAAGUAUUGAGUUUUGUAUUUUGUUUAAACUUAAAGGUUUCUUUUUCUCAACAGAAAUUUCAAAGUUGGGCAGAACAGGGUCAGUUACAGUUGUUCAAGGAAAUAAUUGGAACCCAGGUUUAUUCUCUCAUCUUGCU
rnacentral:lncRNA from 1 species